AAGACAUGGUGAGGGCACUUUCUAAGUAUUUCCAUGAAUCUCUCCCAACUCUCGUAAAAAGAUUCUCCUUCUAAGUAAAAGAAGUAAUAUCAUUUCUAUGUUU